rnacentral:sRNA from 1 species
UUGUAGUCCUGGAAACUGCAGUCCUCUUUCAACAGAAACACUACAGCACAGGAAACAGUGAUAUAAGUUCCCCAUCCUGGUAUUUUGCCUCAUCUCUGACCUUGAGGGACCACCUCCAUGGGUGAGAGGGUAAAUCAUUCUCAAAGACCUGUCAGUCUAGGGUGACC